rnacentral:tRNA from 1 species
CGGGGUGUAGCGCAGUUUGGUAGCGCGUACGUCUGGGGGACGUGAGGUCGCUGGUUCGAAUCCAGUCAUCCCGACCA